rnacentral:tRNA from 1 species
UGGGAAUUAGCCAAGUGGUAAGGCUCCGGACUCUGACUCCGGCAUCGGGGGUUCGAAUCCCUCAUUCCCAACCA